rnacentral:rRNA from 1 species
UUUGGGCUCCAGGAUUAGCCAUGCAUGUCUCAGUGCAAGCCGUAUUAAGGCGAUACCGCGAAUGGCUCAAUAUAUCAGUUUUGGUUCCUUAGAUCUUACUCAGUUACUUGGAUAACUGUGGUAAUUCUAGAGCUAAUACAUGCAAUCAGAACUCUGACCAGUGAUGGGAUGAGUGCUUUUAUUAGAUCAAAACCAAUCGACGGAGGGCCUCGCGUCCGAAGUCGUUAAUUUUGAUGAAUCUGGAUAACUUUUGCAGAUCGCAUGGUCAAGUACCGGCGACGCAUCUUUCAAAUGUCUGCCUUAUCAACUUUCGAUGGUAGUUUCUGCGACUACCAUGGUUGUCACGGGUAACGGGGAAUCAGGGUUCGAUUCCGGAGAGGGAGCCUGAGAAACGGCUACCACAUCCAAGGAAGGCAGCAGGCGCGCAAAUUACCCACUCCCGGCACGGGGAGGUAGUGACGAAAAAUAACGAUACGGGACUCUUACGAGGCCUCGUAAUCGGAAUGAGUACACUUUAAAUAUUUUAACGAGGAACAAUUGGAGGGCAAGUCUGGUGCCAGCAGCCGCGGUAAUUCCAGCUCCAAUAGCGUAUACUAAAAUUGUUGCGGUUAAAAAGCUCGUAGUUGCAUUUGUGCGCCGCGCUGUCGGUGCACCGCAUCCGCGGUGAUACUGACACGUUUGCGGAGCAUAUCGUCGGUGAGCCGGCGUUCUAAAAAACGCCGGUUCAAUAUCAAAAUCCUAUCGCGGUGCUCUUCGGUGAGUGUCGAGGUGGGCCGACAAUUUUACUUUGAACAAAUUAGAGUGCUCAAAGCGGGCUAAAAAUGCUGCUUGAAUAUUUCGUGCAUGGAAUAAUAGAAUAUGAUCUCGGUUCUAUUUUGUUGGUUUUCAGAACUCCGAGGUAAUGAUUAAUAGGGAUAACUGGGGGCAUUCGUAUUGCGACGUUAGAGGUGAAAUUCUUGGAUCGUCGCAAGACGAACAUCAGCGAAAGCAUUUGCCAAAGGUGUUUCAUCAAUCAAGAACGAAAGUUAGAGGUUCGAAGCGAUUAGAAACCGCCCUAGUCUACGUAAUAUUGUCAUCUAGCGAUCCGCCGGACGUUACUACAUGGCUCGGCGGGCAGCUUCCGG